GCAGUGGUAGCUCAGUGGUUAAGACGUUGGACUAGUGAUCGGAAGGUAGGGUUCAAUCCCCAGCACCACCACG